CAUACCAUUUGCAAAAGUAGACAACCCAAGGUAUUGCAAAUAGCGUAUGUCUAGUCUUUUUUAGUAGCCACUUGGUCACAAACACUGGCCAAAGUUAAUGUUAAUAUUUGUUUGUGUGUGAAAAACGCAAAAAACUAAUUUGAACGCCAAUUUUGGCCAGUAUUUGUGACUAAGUGGAUACUAAAAAGAUUGGACAUACCCCAUUUGCAAUACCUUGGGUUGUCUACUAUUACAAAUGGUAUG